rnacentral:rRNA from 1 species
CCUACGGGUGGCUGCAGUGGGGAAUAUUGGACAAUGGGGGAAACCCUGAUCCAGCAAUGCCGCGUGUGUGAAGAAGGCCUGCGGGUUGUAAAGCACUUUCGGUUGGGAAGAAAAGUUUGGCGCCAAUACCGCCGAACCUUGACGUUACUGACAGAAGAAGCACCGGCUAACUCUGUGCCAGCAGCCGCGGUAAUACAGCGGGUGCAAGGGGCGUUCGGAGUGCGUGGGCGGAAAGCGAAGGUGGGUGUGAAAUCCCCGGGCUUAACCUGGGAACUGCAUUCGAUACUACAUGGCUAGAGUAUGGUAGAGGGAAGUGGAAUUUCCGGUGUAGCGGUGAAAUGCGUAGAUAUCGGAAGGAACACCAAUGGCGAAGGCAGCUUCCUGGACUAAUACUGACACUGAGGCACGAAAGCGUGGGUAGCAAACAGGAUUAGAUACCCUGGUAGUC